CCUAGAUUUCUUUCCUUAUCUCAGGUGGGAAGCACACAGAGUUGGCUGAUUACCCAAAGAGAGUUCAGAGUCCUUGAUUAGACUCAUCCGCUCUUAGAUUUUGAAGAAAAUAUUUUAAUGAAGAAAUCAUAGAUGGUAUUUAAAAAGAAUUGAUGCUGUUUUUGCAGUGCUUAUACUGAGGUUCAGGACCUCCUUAUGUUGCCCAGCCUGGUCUUGAAGUCCUGGUUUCCAGUAAUUUGCCUGCCUCAGCCUCCCAAAUUAUUGGGAUUACAGUUUGAUUUUCAUCGUAAAACAAAGUUGGUACACCAACUAGGACUUAGUUGGCAGUAUGAAGAAGCAAGAAAGAGAUGGCACCUUCUUUCUGUGUAUCCACAUGGUAAACGGCAAAUGAUCACCCUGAGGCCUGUUUCAUAAGGACAAGAAUUCUAUUAAUGAGAUCUUCACAGUCAUGAACUAAUUCCCUCCCAUGGAUCCCACCUCUCCAUACCAAUGCCUUGGAGUUGAGAGUUCCAAUGUAUGAAAUUUGGGGGAAAAAACCAUUCAGUCUAUAGCACAGCAAUAUAUGUUUGCUUUGUUUUAUUGUGAAUCAGGAAACUAAAAAUACAAAGAAUACGCAAUAGAGCCAAAGUCUGUAACAUACUGUUACAAAUAUACAUACUGUUUGUUUUGGUUUGGAGGCAUGUCUGAAGAUCACAUGGAAGGAAGGGUUAGCUCAGUCACGGUAGCUUGAAACCAAUAUUGCCUGCCUAUUUCUUCCUUCAUAGCCUGUGCAUGGGAGGUGAGUAUGUUUGUGGACAUUGUCAUUGAAUAUAGUUUAGGCCUUUAUUGAAUCCAGAGGCUUAAUUCUUUAAUGUAGUUUUCAUUUCCAGAGCCAGCAGAAUCUAAUUUAACCCAGUGAUUCUCAAAUGAGGCAACACUAGGCAAUGUCUGGAGGCAGUUUUUGAUGUCACAAUGGAAUGUGGUGCUACCGACAUCUAGUGGAUAGAGGCCGAGGAUGCCACUGAACAUCCUACAAUUCAGAGUGGUCCCUGCAACAGAUAAUUAUCUGGUCCCUAAUGUCAAUAAUGCCGAAGAUAAUAAGCCCUGUGUUGGAUGUUCAUAAAUAACCAAAUGAACAGUUCUAUUUAUUCUGCUUUAUUUAUGUCCUCCUGGUAACAGGGGAACAGGACACUGCAGGGGUUAAAUUUGCAAAUACACCAGUAAAACUCCGAAGUAUCAGGAUCAGUGUUCUUCUAAACUCUGACUUCAGCUAGAGUGGUAUCUUGAACAUGGGAGGUGCAAUAAAUUGGGAACAAAUAAACGUGUUUCUGUGUUUGAG
rnacentral:lncRNA from 10 species